rnacentral:rRNA from 1 species
AGUGAACGCUGGCGGUAGGCCUAACACAUGCAAGUCGAACGGCAGCACAGUAAGAGCUUGCUCUUACGGGUGGCGAGUGGCGGACGGGUGAGGAAUACAUCGGAAUCUACUUUUUCGUGGGGGAUAACGUAGGGAAAAUUACGCUAAUACCGCAUAAGACCUACGGGUGAAAGCAGGGGAUCUUCGGACCUUGCGCGAUUGAAUGAGCCGAUGUCGGAUUAGCUAGUUGGCGGGGUAAAGGCCCACCAAGGCGACGAUCCGUAGCUGGUCUGAGAGGAUGAUCAGCCACACUGGAACUGAGACACGGUCCAGACUCCUACGGGAGGCAGCAGUGGGGAAUAUUGGACAAUGGGCGCAAGCCUGAUCCAGCCAUACCGCGUGGGUGAAGAAGGCCUUCGGGUUGUAAAGCCCUUUUGUUGGGAAAGAAAAGCAGCAGGUUAAUACCCCGCUGUUCUGACGGUACCCAAAGAAUAAGCACCGGCUAACUUCGUG